CAAAAACACAAAGAAGUAGUCGUUGGCAGUUCAAAACUCAGGCUCGCUUCAACAUUAUUAAAUGUGUAGAAAACAAAUCAUAAGGAUAUGUAAUGGCAAGAAU